AGAGAAGAAGACGGUUUUAGAAGAAACUAAAGAUCUGACAGAGAAAUAUGGGAAGAUUGAAGAAGAGCUGCAGAAAACCAAAGAAGAACUGGAGAACAAGACUGAAGAGGUGGAGAAACAUGUAGAGAUACACAGAAACACUAUCAUUGUGUUAUUGAGGACUUACCUGUGAUCUACAUAACUGUGACUUUGCUUCAUCUACUGGUGAAAUGAUACAACUGCAGGUUUUCUCCUCCUCUCAGGUCAAUGAAUUAAAGGAGAAGAAGAAGCUGCAGGAGGAGAUGGAGACCAGAAAUAAAGAGAUGGAGGAGAUGAAGGAUGAGGUGAAGAACAAGCUCAUAGACGUAGAGAGAAAGGUAGUUUAUUCACACACAUCAUUCUCAUCAGAAACAACAAUACACAGAAAGUUAAAUGUGUCACAAGUCUUGUUUAAACUAAACGAUUUCAUAUGAAUACAUCCUUCAUAUUAACUGUCAAAUGUGUUGUUUAGUCUGACAUGAAGAAAUACAAUCAGUGUGAUAAAAUCUUUUUGUUUGACUUUAAUAAAUUCUUCCAGUUGGAGAAAAACAAAGUUGCUGCUUCCAAGUGUAUCACAUCACACUGGAUAAGUGAUCACAUUAUAAGAACUAUGAUACAAUCUGUUUGUCCAUCAUUUAUAAUCAGUGGUGUGAACAGACAUUUUGGGGCCAGGUGCUCAGUAAAAAUAAGGACACUUUAUGCAGCAUGUAGAACUGACAGCUGCCUUAUUAUAGCAGUGUGAGAUUUUAAAAAUAAAUAAACAUUACAGGCACAUGUUGAAUGUAACUGUAUAUUUAUUUAUGUCAAUAUGUUAAUAAAAUUACUUGACCUUUGAACUGGUACAGUUUCACACUAUAGCGCUGAUCAGUCAGUCACUGUUGUUUUAUUUCUUUGGAAUGAAGGCACAUGAAGAGGUUUUUGGUAAGUUACAAGUUACGAUGAUAGAUCAGUGUACUCUUUUCCUCCCGUCAGAACAAAAGAAGUGUACAAAGUUUCAUUUUGACAUGAGGAGUGAAGAGUGAUCGUCACCACUCUCUAAAGCAGCAUCCUCCUUGGUGCCAUGUCUUUAAAGAGUCUGGUGACCUCAGUAUGAUUUACCUGGAUGUCUUUCUCUAUGGCAGGAGAAGGUCAGAGAGCCGUUCUUCUCCACACAGACUUCUUAGUUUGUUUAUGAUCAUUUUCGGUAAGGCAUAAGACACAAGGCUACUUUUUCUGCAGGCACUUGGGAAUUGCCUGUUUGUAAUUUAGCAAAUAAAUUACUGCAAGUGUUAAUUAUGUACCGUAAUGUAAACCUACACAAUAUACACUAAAUGUUCAUCUUAAGCAAGUAUACUGAUAGAUUCACAUGCAGUACCGGUUCACCCAAUACGUACACUACCCACAUUGCGUAGGGCCUCGAAAACUCAUAGAGGCCCCGUAGGAAAAAAAAAAAAAAAAAUGUGACGACGUGACCGUCCAUCGCAAGAUGAAGCGGAGUUAAAAAAGGAAAAAGAAGCUGCAUGAAAAUGAACAGUGGUAACAGCAGUCAGGUAGCUCUCCUCUCCGGGUGGGAGAGUGGGAGGGACGGGGCUAGUCUGGGUUUGACCUACAUAACAGGGCGGUGAGUCUCCGUGUGCGUCUAACUGGCUUCUACAAUUUAAGUGUUAUAUCAAUCAUUCUGAGUGUAGAUACAACUGCAUGUAUACAAAAUGGAAGUAAUGGAUAAAUAUUUACUAAGACUGAACCCAUGAAAUAUCAUGACAAUGGUGCUAAAUAGGCUAAAUAACUAAAUCACCUACAUUUUAAGUACAGUAUAUGAAGGUAAAACAAGUGCAGCUGAAUUAAUAGUAUCCUUAUCUAUAUUUUACAGGUGCUAUGCUUAAGUUUCUAACAAGCAGCACAGAGUCCAGCCAGUCAGCCAGUGCAGGGACAGAAUCAGAUAGGACAGGCUGGACUGGACCUGUGCUGCUGCCCUUUCAAAGGGACAUUUUUAAUGGUCAAUGAACUAAAGGAGGAGAAGAAGAAGCUGAAGGAGGAGAUGGAGACCAGAAACAAAGAGAUGAAGAAGACAAAAGAUAAGGUGAAGAACAAGCUCAUGAACAUGGAGUUUAGGGGUCAGAUACAAAGAGAACAUCAACACUUUUUACUCAGAUGUUUAUUACAUGAAAAAAUGCACAGAUAAAUAUUUGGCUUCAUAUGAAUCAAAAUGAAUGACACAAAUAUCGAUUAAUAUUGAUUAAAUCAGAAUCUCUUUAUUUGCCAUACGUACAAUGUACACAGAUAUUUCACCUGGUCUAUCAGUGUCACAUACAUUAAAUAAUUUAACUUGACAAGAAAGAAGAAAAAAUGAUAUAUACAAUUUAGAAAGAUAAAGAACUGUAAAUAUACAUGUGAUGCAAUGACCAGAGUAAUUACAGACAAGAAAUGUCUGUUGCUGUGGAUGGUGCAUGCAGAAAUGGGGUUGUGUGCUACUGUUUUAAGUGUCUAAGGGAAUGGUUGGGGUAGGGGUCUGGGAGGGUUUGUUGAGGAGAGAGAUGGUCUGGUUCUGGUCCUGAUGGACCUGAACCUGGGACCUGAUUGGAGUGUAGUGAACAGGCAGUGAGCAGGUUCCGGUCUGUUCUUGGUGUGGGCAGAGGAUGUGGGGUACCACACAGUGAUGGAGGAGCUGAGGACACUUUUGAUGGUGUCUCUGUAGAACUGGGUGAGGACCUUGGGGAAGACGUUCAUCUUGGAUUCCUCCGGAAUAACAGACACUAAAAACACAUCAACAAACUGAAUUAAAUAUCUGCUUCUUCAUCUAAGUCCAACAAGAAGCUCAACCAUGAGAAGACACAGUAGAAGAAACAUCAGAGAGAAAUGAAGGAGCUGGAAAUAUAGAACACAGAAGUUCAUGUCAUCUGAGUUGGUAACUUCAGCUCAAAUUGUGUCCCUGUUCCUCUCAGUGAGGUUUAUUGUCAUGUGGUUUUCAUUGAGCCAACAUUCUCAGGUCUAAUCAGGGUCUAAUGUGGUCUACAAGGUCCACCUAUGAAUGAACUCUGAGCAGAACUGGUUUAUUAGGGACCAUGAAGAAGAAGUCUCCUGAUGUUGUCUAAGAUGAUAAUGUGUAUUUUGAUCAGUGUCUGAAUCAGCUCUGAUGUUCUGAUGCUCUAAAUACAUGUUUACAUUUGUUCACCACUUACAGGCAAGGAACAAUAUAUAGCAUUACCAUAUAUGGUAAAUUCAUUGACCUUGAUUUUCAACUUGAAAAUUAAAAGAUGUGAAAAAUUCACAAAGAGUAAAAAAUUCUUCUGACUUUCUACAAUAACAAUCUGGGGUUGAAAUUCUGAAUUUCCAUGUGUAACUUACAAAGGGUUCAGAAUCUGAACUUUAUCUUCUCUCUCCCCUCACGUAAAUGAACUAAAGGAGAAGAAGAAGAAGCUGCAGGAGGAGCUAGAGACCAGAAAGAAAGAGAUGGAGGAGAAAGAGAAGAAGCUCAAAGACAUGGAGAGAGAAGUAUUUUAUUCACACACAUCAUUCUCAUCACAAACAACAAAACUCAGAGAAACAUGUAAAGUCCAGAAAUACAACCAGAGGUGGGUAGAGUAGCCAAAAAUUGUACUCAAGUAAAAGUACUGUUACUUCAGAAUAAUAUGACUCAAGUAAAAGUAAAAAGUAGUCAUCCAAAUAAUUUCUUGAGUAAGAGUAAAAAGUGCUUGGUGAAAAAACUACUCAAGUACUGAGUAACUAUUGAGUAACUUCUGAUUUAUUUGUGAACACAAGCAUUCAAUCAGACGGACCAAAAUAAAAUUAGAGGUAAUCCAAUCAAUAAAAUAAAUUAAAAUAAAUUAAUUAAUUACAAAAAGGUUUAAAUUAAAAUAAUCCAGGUAAAUUCACAACCUUUGUGUUUUUUCACCAGGCUUCUUCUCUUUCUGUCUCCUCUCUCCUCAGGUAGAUGAUAGAAAGUACCUCAUGGAUGGAAAGAGAGAAGUACAAACACACAGAAACAUCAACCUGAAGCACUUUUUAAUUCAAUGUUUAUUAUGAAUAAAAUAUGAAACAAAAUUAUUUAAUUCAUGUCAAUGAGUGCAACAAAUGAAAUCUGUCUUCAUCUCUUCUUUCUACCAGUUAAUAAAGCAGAUCAACCAACAGGAAGAGAAACAUCAGAGAGAAAUAAAGGAGCUGGAAACAAAGUGGGAGAAGAAGCUCAAAGAGGAGGAGAAGAAAAGAGAAAGAGCUGAGAAAGAAGUGAAGACAAAGAAGAGGAAACAGGAGACUGAGGUUUGUCUGUUUCUCCUGAGAAUCAUCAAAUCAUUUUUCUAUUUUCUAUCAGAUUGUGGACAGCACAGAUGGUUCUAAAACUGAAGUGUUGCUCAUUGGUUCUGAAACCAGAGACAGAAACUCAGCAGGAAACUGGAAGAACUGGGAAGAAACUUAGAGUCAGAUCUCAUAUCUGAGGUUCACAUUAAAAACCUGAACAUCCACAGUAUCAAGAUAAGAACAUAGGAACAAAGAGAUGGAGGAGAUAAAAGAUGAGUUGGAGAAAAACAAAGCUGCUGCUUCCACUUCUAUCUGGCCUUUCAGGCAUCCAGAGAUCUACAACGAUCCGAUGGAAGUGGAGGAGGUAGAUGAAAGAAAGAACCUCAUGGAUGGAACGAGAGAAUUCAUGAAGCAGAUCAACCAACAGGAAGGGAAACAUCAGAGAGAAAUAAAGGAGCUGGAG